AGGAUUAUAGUUAAAAAUAACAUUUAAUUUGCAAUUAAAAAGUACUAAAAAGUUAAUCUUU
rnacentral:tRNA from 1 species